CUAAAUAUAAUCUCUUUUUACGUUAAAGGAAAGAAUUCCAAUUCUCUGAUUUGAUUUACCAUGAUAUUAUGAUAGGGGUGGCGAUUCGUGUCGGUGGGUUUUGUUAAUUUUGCUUUAUUCGCCUCUUAUUAACUUUUGUUCCCUUUUUUCUUUCCUAAUAUUUCCUUUCUCCAAUUUUUUUUCCCAAAGAUUUCAGAAACCAAACAAGACUCAUCGAUAAUGGAGGACAAUUCAACUCGUAAAAUUAUUGGAUUUGUGUUCCAAAGAAAGAAAAAUCAAGAUGCAUUUUUAAUCACCAGAAGAACAACG
rnacentral:lncRNA from 1 species